rnacentral:rRNA from 1 species
GAUUCAACGCUGGCGGCAGGCCUAACACAUGCAAGUCGAGCGGUAGAGAGAAGCUUGCUUCUCUUGAGAGCGGCGGACGGGUGAGUAAUGCCUAGGAAUCUGCCUGGUAGUGGGGGAUAACGCUCGGAAACGGACGCUAAUACCGCAUACGUCCUACGGGAGAAAGCAGGGGACCUUCGGGCCUUGCGCUAUCAGAUGAGCCUAGGUCGGAUUAGCUAGUUGGUGAGGUAAUGGCUCACCAAGGCGACGAUCCGUAACUGGUCUGA